GGACAUCCCUCCCUGCAGGGUGGAGACUCUCCUCCACAGACGUAGAACUGGAUUGAUCUGGCUACCACCUGAAACAUGGGGACCAAAUGAGGAGGAUGCGCUUGCACCCCUUUAGGUUUAUCUUCCAACCUGAAGAGCAAGAAAACAUACUUUGAGUUGCCAGCAGCAGGAAGAGCGGGAGCUUGGAUCAGGGGCCUGUCGGGAAAGGU